UCUCCUGGCAGUCACCUGCUUGCUUAAACUCUUGACGGCUUCCCUCAGCAAUUAAAACAGCAUCCACCCCUGCCUUUUUAGGGCCCAGGAGGUCCUACUUGAUCUGGCUCUCACCUGUCUUUCCAAUCUCCCUUCAUUCUUCUCCAGUACGCUCCGGCUGCUGCACUGGCCUUAUCCUGUGCCUUGGACAUACUCAAGUUUAUCUUCACCUUAGAGCCCUUGAACUUGCUGCUCCUGCCCAUGACCAGCUUCUCAUUUUGGACACAGCUCCAGGGUCACCUCCUCAGAACGGCUUUUCCUCCCCAACUCCAGUUCUCUCUGUCACAUCACCAUUGAAUUGCCCUUAUGCUCCCUUUCAUGACUUUCCGCUCACUUCUCAACCCCUGCCUGUCUUCCCUUGCAAGAAGAAGAUCCCUCUGCAUAAUAUGGAAGAUGAACUGAAGGUGAACCAUGAUGGCAGCAGUAAAGAGUUGCCCAGCCCUCCAGCCCACAACAGCCUAGGAGAGGAAGCUGUCUUGCUACAGCAGCAGAAAGCACAGCCCAAGGCCUCAGCAGCUCACUCAACCCCUGAGGUUUUAAUGAGAUUCUGCCUCAGGACCUAGAUGGACCAUUCUUUUUUUUCCCCUUUUAUACAAAACUUCAAAAUGUUUUUACCUAUGUGUUGGAAUUGCAAGAAUGAAGCCAAGAAGAAGAAAAUAAGUAAACUAAGAGAGAAGGAAAGAAGUCAACCCUAAACAAAGCACCAAGAGAAGUCAAGAUGGUAGAUGUGGAUGUAUUUAACGUCAUGGAGUUGUGCACUUGAAAAUGGUUACAAUGGUAAAGUUUAUGUUUUAUAUUCUUUACCGCAAUAAUUUUUUAAUAUUAUAGAAACUUUCCUCAUCAUUGAGACAUAGUACCUGACACCCGCAAUUUACAGGAGGAAAGAUUUAUUUGGCUCACAUUUUCAGUCCGUGGAUCGCUGCUCCAAAGCAGGAGGGGUGUGAUGGAAAGGUCUGGCACAGAAAAGCUGCUCAUGUUGUGGCAGCCAGGAAGCACGAGCCAAGGGCGGAGCCGGAGACAGGAAUAUGCCGCUCUGGGUCAUGCCCCAAGUGACCCACCUCCAACAGCCCGCGCCUCCUAAUAGCAAGUCAGCUAUUGUGUUCCUCCCUCACAUCUAAUCACUGUCCAAAAACACCACCUCUGAACACAAGAGGCUUCUGGAGGACAUUCUAGAGCUAAACCAUAAUGUAUGAUCUGUAGGUGUGGGGAGCGGAUAGUUGUCAGAACAGUUUCAAGUGUAUGCACCAAAUCUUCUAAUUAGUAAAUCAUAUUUUAAUAUAUUUGAUGUGCUGAAUAUAUAUAUAUAUAUAUAUAUAUGGAGAGAGAGAGAGAAAACAAAAUAGAAAAUAGCAAAACAGAAGUAUGGAA
rnacentral:lncRNA from 1 species